CCUACGGGAGGCUGCAGUAGGGAAUCUUCCACAAUGGGCGAAAGCCUGAUGGAGCAACGCCGCGUGGGUGAAGAAGGUCUUCGGAUCGUAAAACCCUGUUGUUAGAGAAGAAAGUGCGUGAGAGUAACUGUUCACGUUUCGACGGUAUCUAACCAGAAAGCCACGGCUAACUACGUGCCAGCAGCCGCGGUAAUACGUGGGUGGCAAGCGUUAUCCGGAUUUAUUUGGCGUAAAGGGAACGCAGGCGGUCUGUUAAGUCUGAUGUGAAAGCCUUCGGCUUAACCGGAGUAGUGCAUUGGAAACUGGGAGACUUGAGUGCAGAAGAGGAGAGUGGAACUCCAUGGGUAGCGGUGAAAUGCGUAGAUAUAUGGAAGAACACCAGUGGCGAAAGCGGCUCUCUGGUCUGUAACUGACGCUGAGGUUCGAAAGCGUGGGUAGCAAACAGGAUUAGAUACCCGGGUAGUC
rnacentral:rRNA from 1 species